rnacentral:lncRNA from 10 species
UAGAAACACUGAAAGGAAAUGUGAUACCAUGGAAAGUACACUGAACUGGGAAAUAGAAAGUAUGAGUUUUCAAUCCACCACCGAGCCCCUAUGUUACCUUAGCUGGGAUAUCUACCUUCUCCUGCCCUCAGACAUCAGAACUCUUGUUUCUCAGGCCUUCUGGCUCAGACUGAAUUACACAAGCUUUCCUGGAUCUCUGGCUUGCAGAUGACAUACCAUGGGACUUCACUGGCCUUCAUAUCUGCCCAAACUGGAAACAAUCCAGAUGUCCCUCAACACAUGAAUGGAUAAGCAGAUUUUGGCAUUUCUAUGCAAUGGAAAGCUACUUAUUAAUUAAAAGGAAUGAACUAUUGAUACAUGCACCAGCAUGGGUAAGUCACAAUUCAUUAUGCAGAGUAAAAGAAGCCAGAAAAAGAAAGAGUACAUACUAUAUGAUUCCAUUCAUAUAAACCUGUGGAAAAUGCAAUUUCAUCUACAGUGACAGAAGGCAAAUCAGUAGUAGCUGGUAUGGUUGGGCCAGAGCAGAGAGAAUUCCAAACAGGCAUAAGAAAGUUUAGGGUGGUGAGGAAUAUUUACAUUUCUUGAUUAUGUAUUGUGGUUUUCAUGGGUGUAUACAUAUGCUAAAACUUAUCAAUUUUUAUACAAUAAUUAUAUGCAAUUUCAUGUAAGCCAAUUGUAACAUACUAAAGAGCUUUAAAAAUAUACCAGGGAAAAAGGAAGGUUAAAUAAUAUUGGCGAAGCUUAUAAUUAUUGAAGCUUUAUGAUAGGUUCACAGGUUUCAUCAUAUUAUCUCCCUUUGUGCACAUUUGAAAAAAUUUUACUAUUAAUAGUUAUUUUAAAAUGAGCUUUUGUUGAAAUAUAUAAAGAAAUUGAAAAACCUAGCAAAGAGAUUUAUAGCCCAAUAACUGACAUUAGAUUCAUGUGCAAAAUAUAUUUAUAUUCCAACUUACACAGAUAAAAACAUUGCUCAACUUGAACACACCCAUGUGAUGAGCACUCCCAGAUCAAGCAACAGAACAUUACCAAACCAUCAUAGGUCCCAUUCUUGCUUCCUUCUAAUUAUUGCACCCUUUCCCCAUGCUUUAGUUUUGCCUAUUGAAC